GUUACAUGCCUGUAUUCACUCCAUACCCAAUGCCGUGUCCGGGGUUGCUGGAGGAGGUUCCCAUGAGACACCAUCUGCAUUUCCCACAACACAGGGAGUCUGGAGGAGGGAGGUUGUCAAGGCCCCACCUUGAUUCAGUUGAGAAACUGCAGGACAGCCAGGGCUUGGACAUCGUAUCGGUGGAUGAUUCUUCCCAGGACACUGCAUGACGAGGGAUUUGAGAUUUCCUGACAGCAUGAGCUCUAGAUUACAGUACUUAAAGGUAUUUCAUCACUGCAUCAACUUCUCUGAAGAGGAUAGUGGCUCAAAACCAUUCCAGAAACGUCUUGUUAAAUUCAACUUCAUGAUUCGGACUCCAAGGCUCUUUACCCAAAAAGAAGUCUGGGACAAUGGCUCUGAAAGAAGCAAAUAUAUCAGUUCAGAGAACAUUUAAAUGUCAGGAAAUCAUGUAAUGACUGGAAACUUAUAUCCAUUGGUGGAGAGCAUGUCAGCCAUGAUCUUGUGUUGGGUAUUGUCAUCCAAAGAUAUCCUGAAUCACAAUCUCCGCCUUGUCUGUUUUGACAUCUGGUUUAACAACAUAAGCCUUCACAUGCUCAAUCUGUAUCUCCUGACCCAGUCCGCUAUUCCAUCCGGUCUCCAAUGUCGCAUGGACAUGGCUUUGCUUCGUUUGCCAUCUGAGAGAAAUGUUUUGGUUAUGAAUUGUCAAGUUUUCUCAUUAUUAUAUAUUUCCUUUCUCAUUAUGGCAACUUGUUUUGGUAGGCUAAAUUGUCAAAAGUUUCCCCUGUGAAGUUCGAACAAUGCCCCUUCCAUUGUUCACCACAUCUUCUAAGGCACAGGGUCAAAAUUGUACCUGAAAGAACAAAACUGUACCCCAACCGUACCCCUAUUUUUGAGAGUGCAUGGUCUUUUUCACCAUGACAAAGAGUCGAAGAACCCCUUGAGAGAUAUGUUGAUUGGAGUAACGAGUUUGGCCUGUCCUUUGGUCACUAGCACUGUGUUCUCUCAUUUGCAUAAUACAGUAUAUUCUGUAGUUAUCAUACCUACUUUGAGUUUCUAUAUAACAAUGUAUGUGCAGCAUAUAUACUAACCUCUCACGUCCACGGUGAUGCCUCUUACUACUCAAUGUAUUAAUCUGUUUAGUUACCGAUUGAAUGAAAGAGAGGAACAUGCCUCCUGAUUUGAAUGUUGGGCAAGGUUGACACCCUGAUUAAAGACUCAUGUUUAAGGACAUUGUUGACAUUGCUGAGUCGUGUUGAAGGACAUUCAUUGUGCUUUGUUGGCAUGACUGUGCAUUUUUAACUUUUUGAA